rnacentral:rRNA from 1 species
ACGGGAGGCAGCAGUGGGGAAUAUUGCACAAUGGGGGAAACCCUGAUGCAGCGACGCCGCGUGAAGGAUGAAGUAUCUCGGUAUGUAAACUUCUAUCAGCAGGGAAGAUAAUGACGGUACCUGACUAAGAAGCCCCGGCUAACUACGUGCCAGCAGCCGCGGUAAUACGUAGGGGGCAAGCGUUAUCCGGAUUUACUGGGUGUAAAGGGAGCGUAGACGGAAUGGCAAGUCUGGUGUGAAAGGCAUGGGCUCAACCCGUGGACUGCACUGGAAACUGUCGUUCUUGAGUGCCGGAGGGGUAAGCGGAAUUCCUAGUGUAGCGGUGAAAUGCGUAGAUAUUAGGAAGAACACCAGUGGCGAAGGCGAUCUACUGGACAGUAACUGACGCUGAGGCGCGAAAGCGUGGGGAGCAAACAGGAUUAGAUACCCUGGUA